rnacentral:rRNA from 1 species
AUUGAACGCUGGCGGCAUGCCUUACACAUGCAAGUCGAACGGCAGCACGGGAGCUUGCUCCUGGUGGCGAGUGGCGAACGGGUGAGUAAUACAUCGGAACGUACCCUGAAGUGGGGGAUAACGUAGCGAAAGUUACGCUAAUACCGCAUAUUCUGUGAGCAGGAAAGAGGGGGAUCGCAAGACCUCUUGCUUUAGGAGCGGCCGAUGUCGGAUUAGCUAGUCGGUGAGGUAAAGGCUCACCAAGGCGACGAUCCGUAGCGGGUCUGAGAGGAUGAUCCGCCACACUGGGACUGAGACACGGCCCAGACUCCUACGGGAGGCAGCAGUGGGGAAUUUUGGACAAUGGGCGCAAGCCUGAUCCAGCCAUGCCGCGUGAGUGAAGAAGGCCUU